UACGGAGGGUGCAAGCGUUGUUCGGAAUUACUGGGCGUAAAGCGCGUGUAGGCGGCCCUGCAAGUCAGAUGUGAAAGCCCUCGGCUUAACCGGGGAAGUGCAUCUGAAACUGCUUGGCUUGAGUACCGGAGAGGGAGGCGGAAUUCCCAGUGUAGAGGUGAAAUUCGUAGAUAUUGGGAGGAACACCGGUGGCGAAAGCGGCCUCCUGGACGGAUACUGACGCUGAGACGCGAAAGCGUGGGUAGCAAACAGG
rnacentral:rRNA from 1 species